UUUAGUUUUUCCAUCCGAAUCCAAGACUCUCUCUUAACCUAUAAAAACCUCGGAACCCACCAUCUCACAAAAUUCACUGCUCAGGCUCAGAGACUCAGAGUCUCAGACCCAGCUGGCUCUCCUUAAGCAGCAAGAAAACCCAGCACCUCAACUCAACCAUCAUCCAUUACAAACAAAAAGGCAAUCAGUUCUGGGACCGAGUGAAAAUGGCUCAUGAAAACUAUCGCAUUUCUGCUUUUGAGCAGAGUUAUCGUUGUUACCCUGUCUCGUUUAUUGACAAGUCACAUCUGGAAAAGGGUGAUAAAAUUAUAAUGCCUCCCUCAGCUCUUGACCGCCUCGCAUCUUUACAGAUCGACUACCCUAUGUUGUUUGAACUUAACA